UUCACUUCCUCUGCCUGCUGUGGAUGUCCUGAGCUCUGUUUUUGUGUUGGCUCCCGGUUUGACUGAACUACAGCAGUCAUGUGCACCACCAUCAUGGUCCUGAGCACCAUCGCUCUCCUGCUGCGACAGAUGUUCAUCAACCGCGUCAAACCACAGACAGAUGUGAACGGGACAAAGGAAAAGCCACAUGAGAGCGAUUCAACAGCUUCAGAAAAAUAAUAAUAAGAGACAUCAUUCAUCCGGCCGAGACUGUGAGCACAGAACGAAACUCAGUCCAGCCUGGGAGGAUCUUCUCAGGGACACUUUCACGAAGUAAACGCUCAUCCUGAAAUAUUUAAGAGCAUUGUCAGAUUGAGUACAAGACGACACGCAUGCAGCGCACACAAAAGAGAGGAAAAGGGUUGUGUGUGACUCCACUGGACGACUCCAUUUCCAACACAGCGAGGACUGUUUGAACCGGACACAGGAGGAAUAAUAGCAUCUGUGAAAAAGUGCUUUCAGGACAGGAGCCAUGAACUUGCUCUGUGAGUGCUGUCCGUGAACACAGACGCAGCGCCCUGUAAAUCAUUCAUACACAACACCCGGCCAUCAGCCGCUCGCAGGACUGGACCAGCAGACCCCUUCAUCGUCCCCAACACCAUCUCCAUCCAGACAUGUUAUUAACUGACACGAGAGAAGGAAAGAGUAUGUGACUGGAAGAGUUUAAAUGAGUAAUAGAUGCUCGUCUGAUGGAGGCAGUUCAGUGCAUGAAACAUUGAUGCCUUCACAUGUCAGCUCUCUCUGUGGAUGUGAGUGUGUGUUUACCUCGCUUCAGUGAUCACACACACACACACUCACACUCUCACACACACACACACACACACACUCACACUCUCUCUCACACACACACACACACACACACACACUCCACAGCAGUCAGAUCUUCAGCUCAGCGUACUCUAGUUUCCUGUAAUGGUCAAUCCAAAUUAAUUGUUUCUCAUAGUCCUUUUAAUUACUUUCAUUAAUGCGAACUCUUUAAUAGCUCAAUAGUUUCUCUUAGCAAUGAUGUUGAAUGAAGAUCAAACUUAUUUUCUCUUUAUUUGUCUCCUGGGGCCCUCAGUAAUCCACGAGAGACCAUCUGAACCACAGAAAAAAUGCUUUGGGAAAUAACAAUUAUAACAAGUCAUAAUUAUGAGAUAAAAUGUAAACAUUAUGAAAUAUUACGCCGUAAUUAUGAGACAAAAAUUCAUAAUUAUGACAAGUGUGAGGUAAAAACUCAGACAGGGAGAAUUAUGAGAUAAAAAGACGGCAGUCAAAACUGAGAUAAAUCUACAUUAUGAAAUAAAAAGCCAUACCUCUGAAAUGAAAAUUAAAAGAUUUUAACCCAUAAUAUUGAGACCAGAAGUCAUCAUUAUUACAGUAAAACUUAUGAGAUAAAACUUGAAAUAACAAAAUUAUGAGAUAAGUUACAAUUAUGAGACAAAAGUCAUAAUUAUGAAACAAAGAGCCAAAAUUAUGUCAUUCAAAAUUGAGAUUAAAAACUUCAAACUGACAAUCACAAUUAUGAGAUAAAAACCUGAAAUUUUGAGUCACGAUUAAUAGAUAACAAAUAAAGCUAUGAGAUAAGUCACAAUUAUGAGACAAAGUCAUAAAUAUUGUACAGAUAGCCAAGAUUAUGUCAGUCAAAAAUUAGAUAACAAAACGUGAAACUAUGACUGUCACGAUUAUAAGAUAAAAACUUGAAAUGAUGAGUCACGAUUAAUAGAUAACAACUAAAGCUAUGAGAUAAGUCACAAUUAUGAGACAAAAAGUCAUAAUUAUGAGGCAGAAAGCCAAAAUUAUGUGUCAAAAUUUUUAUAAAUGAACUCGAAACUAUGACUGUCACUAUUAUGAUAUUAGAAAAAUCUAAAUGAAAUACUAAGCCAUAAUUAGGAUAAUUUUUAAAAGUUAAAAUUAAAAAAUCAUAAUUUCAAAGUAAAAAGUAUAAUCAUAAGAAGCCAAAAUUGUACUAUAUCAUACUUAAAUAUGACAUUGAGUGAGAAGACACUAAGCCACAAUAAUGAAACAAAGUCAAAAUUGAAAUAAAAAGUACUAAAUCAUGAGUCAAAAUUGAGAUGCCAUAAUUAUUACAUAAAAACCCAGACAUUUUUUCAUAAUGACUCUAAUGAUUAACUCAAUUUUGCUUUACCAGAACUCCAUGAAGUCUUCUGAGAUUAACAUUAACAGUAAAAUCUUCAUUAUACUCCCUCAUGUAACUCUGGUCUCUCAGGUGCUCUUUGGACACAAGGCUCAUGUCUCAGAAUUCGUGAUUAUUUGUGGUUGAAGAUCUGACCAGGGAAACUCAAACCACACCGUCCCGCUCCAAACAUCUGUGUGCUCCUGCAUUCAAUCCCAGGUGUCUUCAAAGAGCCCGGAAACCUCCGAUUCUACAGACCUACACGAGACGCAAAUAACGUUUCAAUCUGCCAUGUGUUUAUGAUCUCAAACAAGAAAACAUCUUGUAGAGUCCAUAAACACCCAGAUGGAAGUCCAGGAGAUGAUUGGGGUCUGGGUAAAAAAAAAGAGUCCAUUAAGUCAACAAUAAAGGCAUAGACAAAAUCAUUAAUAGAGCACUAGAUAUUUGAUAAACUAUUAAUAUAUAGUAAAACGAUAUAGUAAAGUGAAAAGUUCUUUCUGUAAAUAAUUAAACUCAGACCCUGUUACCAACAUUUGUAAGACAAAAUGAUUAAACACAUAUUGUUCUUUAAGAAUAUAAACAUAAGAUUGCAAAACUGCGAAGCAACUUUUGAUCCCGAACUUGUGAUUCAUAAUUCAUUUAGGCCAAAUUUGCAUGUGUGUUCUGCCAUGUUUUAAAAGUGUGAAAUGUGAAAACUGUUUAUUUGAAACCAACUGAACGUUUUGCUUUAAGAACAAUAAAAUGAGUUAUGAUCUAUGAAAUAUGACUUAGUUUAAUAUGUUUCUCAAGUGUGAUUUUAUUGUUGUAAUACUAUAGUAGAACACUUAUUAGAUGGUCACAAGACUAAAAAACUUGAAAUUAUUAAUAACUUAGUUUGCUUGAAUGAAAAAUGCCUUAAUUCUGCUGUAAAUAAUAGGAAGUACAUGCAUAAUUCAUGAAUUUGACCCACAGAUGUUUUAGACUGACACAUGAUUAAUGUCAUCAGAGUUUCCAGCAGCAACACUCAUAAUAAAACACGUUCAUCUUUAUCACACAGACGCUGUGUUGAAAUAUUGUGUUUUCCCGUCUCUAGCCUUUUGAAGGCUCUUUACUGUUAAUAAAUCUGAUUCAUUUUCUGGACAA